rnacentral:tRNA from 1 species
UAUCUAUAUAGUAUAAAAAGUAUAUCUGACUUCCAAUCAUAAGGUUUAAUCACUAUUAAUAUAGAUAA